GAUGAAGAACGUAGCGAAAUGCGAUAAGUAAUGUGAAUUGCAGAAUUCAGUGAAUCAUCGAAUCUUUGAACGCACAUUGCGCCCGCCAGUAUUCUGGCGGGCAUGCCUGUCUGAGCGUCAUUUCAACCCUCAGCCCCCGCUCGCGGGGCGCUGGCGUUGGGGAUCGGCCGUCCUCGCGGCGGCCGGCCCCGAAACACAGUGGUGGUCUCUCGCGGACUCCCCUGCGUAGUAGCACUACCUCGCAGAAGGGACGAGCGGGCUGACCACGCCGUAAAACCCCCCACUUCUCCAGGUUGACCUCAGAUCAGGUAGGAAUACCCGCUGAACUUAAGCAUAUCAAUAAGCGGAGGA
rnacentral:misc_RNA from 1 species